rnacentral:rRNA from 1 species
AUGAAUAUACUAUCAUGGAACUGUCGGGGAGUGGGGAACCGCAGGACAGUUCAUGAGGUUUAGGCCCUCUCUAAAGCCAAUAGCCCCAAUCUUGUUUUCCUUCAUACCAGGCAAGCGUCGAAUAAGAUUGAGAAACUAAGAUGGGGACUUGGUUUGAAAGGUUUUCAUGGAGUCAAUAGUGAUGGUAGAAGCGGAGGCUUGGCACUUUUUUGGGAUGAACCCCUUACUAUAACAGUACUGGAUGCAUGCCAAAGAUACAUUAAUGUUACUAUUGUUGACAGUGGCUCUGGAAUUUCGUGGAGGGGGACGUCUGUGUAUGGUGAACCGAGAGUAGAGAAUAGACAAUACACAUGUGGGAUCAUUUAA